AGGUUAAUUUGAGGACAGUUUCUCAACAAACCCUUGUAUCGCUCUCACGCCUCAUACAAUGACUCACUCGAUUGUUGCUCGAAAUUUGCUAUGGCCUUCUUCAACUU